UGCUGCUGGGACACGAGGUUUUGGUGCCAUCUUCCUUGAUGUGGAAGAUGCAGCUAGCAGUAGUAUCGAAUACUUUGGUACAACGACCAAAGGCGAUAA
rnacentral:tRNA from 2 species